AAAAAAAAAAAAAAAAGACGACGUCAACUUCCCAAGGCUUUUCAGCGUCAAGAAAGAGGAGUUUGAAGGGAUUACGGACACUGAAGACUUUAAGCAGAAAGUUCAAGUCUGGGUGGCCAAAAGUUAUAUUUCAGUGACCUGGUUACCGUCUCUCUCUGCAAACCCAAAGGAUCACUUUCCUCUAAACUUUUUUUUGUUCUUUCUAUGCAUCAAGAUGUGUAAUUUAUUUUUUCUGAAGAUUUUUGACUAAUGUGUGUGUGUAUGUGGGUCUUUGUGUGGAUAA